rnacentral:rRNA from 1 species
GGCUACCAUGCAAGUCGAGGGGCAGCAUUUCAGUUUGCUUGCAAACUGGAGAUGGCGACCGGCGCACGGGUGAGUAACACGUAUCCAACCUGCCGAUAACUCGGGGAUAGCCUUUCGAAAGAAAGAUUAAUACCCGAUGGNAUAAUCAGACCGCAUGGUCUUAUUAUUAAAGAAUUUCGGUUAUCGAUGGGGAUGCGUUCCAUUAGGCAGUUGGUGAGGUAACGGCUCACCAAACCUUCGAUGGAUAGGGGUUCUGAGAGGAAGGUCCCCCACAUUGGAACUGAGACACGGUCCAAACUCCUACGGGAGGCAGCAGUGAGGAAUAUUGGUCAAUGGGCGCAGGCCUGAACCAGCCAAGUAGCGUGAAGGAUGACUGCCCUAUGGGUUGUAAACUUCUUUUAUAUGGGAAUAAAGUUUUCCACGUGUGGAAUUUUGUAUGUACCAUAUGAAUAAGGAUCGGCUAACUCCGUGCCAGCAGCCGCGGUAAUACGGAGGAUCCGAGCGUUAUCCGGAUUUAUUGGGUUUAAAGGGAGCGUAGGUGGACAGUUAAGUCAGUUGUGAAAGUUUGCGGCUCAACCGUAAAAUUGCAGUUGAUACUGGCUGUCUUGAGUACAGUAGAGGUGGGCGGAAUUCGUGGUGUAGCGGUGAAAUGCUUAGAUAUCACGAAGAACUCCGAUUGCGAAGGCAGCUCACUGGACUGCAACUGACACUGAUGCUCGAAAGUGUGGGUAUCAAACAGGAUUAGAUACCCUGGUAGUCCACACAGUAAACGAUGAAUACUCGCUGUUUGCGAUAUACAGUAAGCGGCCAAGCGAAAGCAUUAAGUAUUCCACCUGGGGAGUACGCCGGCAACGGUGAAACUCAAAGGAAUUGACGGGGGCCCGCACAAGCGGAGGAACAUGUGGUUUAAUUCGAUGAUACGCGAGGAACCUUACCCGGGCUUAAAUUGCAUUUGAAUANUNUGGAAACAGGUUAGCCGCAAGGCAAAUGUGAAGGUGCUGCAUGGUUGUCGUCAGCUCGUGCCGUGAGGUGUCGGCUUAAGUGCCAUAACGAGCGCAACCCUUAUCUUUAGUUACUAACAGGUCAUGCUGAGGACUCUAGAGAGACUGCCGUCGUAAGAUGUGAGGAAGGUGGGGAUGACGUCAAAUCAGCACGGCCCUUACGUCCGGGGCUACACACGUGUUACAAUGGGGGGUACAGAAGGCAGCUACCUGGUGACAGGAUGCUAAUCCCAAAAGCCUCUCUCAGUUCGGAUCGAAGUCUGCAACCCGACUUCGUGAAGCUGGAUUCGCUAGUAAUCGCGCAUCAGCCAUGGCGCGGUGAAUACGUUCCCGGGCCUUGUACACACCGCCCGUCAAGCCAUGAAAGCCGGGGGUACCUGAAGUACGUAACCGCAAGGAGCUCCUAGG